AAGCGGCAAAAGCUCAAAUUUGAAAUCUGGUACCUUUGGUGCCCGAGUUGUAAUUUGGAGAGUACCACUUUGGGACUGUACUUUGCCUAUGUUCCUUGGAACAGGACGUCAUGGAGGGUGAGAAUCCCGUGUGGCGAGGGUGUCAGUUCUUUGUAAAGGGUGCUCGAAGAGUCGAGUUGUUUGGGAAUGCAGCUCUAAGUGGGUGGUAAAUUCCAUCUAAAGCUAAAUACAGGCGAGAGACCGAUAGCGAACAAGUACAGUGAUGGAAAGAUGAAAAGAACUUUGAAAAGAGAGUGAAAAAGUACGUGAAAUUGUUGAAAGGGAAGGGCAUUUGAUCAGACAUGGUGUUUUGCGCCCCUUGCCUCUCGUGGGCUUGGGACUCUCGCAGCUCACUGGGCCAGCAUCGGUUUUGGCGGCCGGAAAAAACCUAGGGAAUGUGGCUCUGCGCCUCGGUGUAGAGUGUUAUAGCCCUGGGGAAUACGGCCAGCCGGGACCGAGGACUGCGAUACUUGUUAUCUAGGAUGCUGGCAUAAUGGUUAUAUGCCGCCCGUCU
rnacentral:rRNA from 1 species